GCCCAGCUAAUUUUUGUAUUUUUAGUAGACAAGGUCUCACCAUGUUGGCCAGGCUGGUCCUGAACUCCUGACCUCAAGUGAUCCACCCGCCUCGGCCUCUCAAAAUGCUGGGAUUACAGGCGUGAGCCACUGCGCCCCGGCUCGCUCCUUUUUUUUUUUUUUUGAGACAGAGUCUCACUCUGUUGCCCAGGAUAGAGUGCAGUGGUGUGAUUUUGGCUCACUGCAACCUUUGCCUCCCGGAUUCAAGUGAUUCUCCUGCCUCAGCCUCCUGAGUAGCUGUGAUUACAGGUGCCCACCACCAUGCCUAGCUAAUUUUUGUAUUUUUAGUGGACGGGGUCUCACCGUGUUAGCCAGGCUGGUCUUGAACUCCUGAGCUCGAGAGAUCCGCCCACCUCGGCCUCCCAAAGUGCUGAGAUUACAGGCGUGAGCCACCACGCUGGGCCCUGCAGUCUCUUUUCACUGGGUACUGCGGUUCAGUGUUACUGCCUAGGGGCAGCUGAUCCGCAGAGCCCCUCCCUCUCUGAGUUCCCCCAGGCCAGAGCUGAGAGCCAGGCUCUCCAGAUCCCUGUGGGAGGGCCUUGUAUCUGAGUCCAGUUUUCCUCCAGCACGAGGCCUGGCAUUUAAUUACCUGCUAUCUUGUCAGCUGUUCAGUGUUCCUGGCCUUUGGAUAUUUCACCCAGCGUGUUUCAUCGUCUUCAGGGAAACGGCUGGUCCAGGCACCUAGCCUGCUGUCACCAGGAAGGGACAUGUGCCCCGAGGCGGGGCUGAUGUCACUGCUGCACCCUGGUGGGGCGCACCAGCCCACGGCUGUGCCACCCGGGAGGUGCCCUUUUGUUGGAGGGCAUUUGCCAAAACCAGCAAACUUGGGUUCUCAUUCUGUGGCCUUGAGGGGUCAGGGGGACAGAAGUCAAGGGCCAGUCCUGCCCAAAAUGGGGAGCAUUAUAGAAAACCCUUCCCACCUUAAGCUGAAAACCUAAAGGUCUACACUCUUAGGGUAAGAAUGAAACGGAAUUAGCCCUGCUCCCUCCACACGAAAGACACUUGGUGCUAAGAGAAGCAAAAAGAAAAAGUUCUUCAGAAGUUAGGGCUACAGGUCUUCUCUAGCACAGAUUUGAGGUGCUAGCACAGAUUUGAGGUGCUGCCAAGAAUGCAGAGAACUCCAAGCACUCAAUGCGUUGUUUUGACAUAGGGUCUCUCUCUGUCACCCAGGCUGGAGUGCGGUGGUGUGAUCACGGCUCACUGCAGCCUCGAACUCCUGGGCUCAAGCAAUCCUCCCACCUCAGCCUCCCAAGUAGCUGGGACUUCAGGUGCAUACCACCAUGCCCAGCUAAUUAAAAACAAAAGAGAUACGGC
rnacentral:lncRNA from 1 species